GUGUAAUAAAAAAGGAGAGAUAAGGCAAGAGAGUCCCCCACACAAGGAGAAACCAACUACAAACCAAGAAAUGCCAUCGACUCCAUGGCAAUGGUUUUUUUUUUUUU
rnacentral:ncRNA from 1 species